rnacentral:lncRNA from 1 species
GCGUCCGCUAGAUGGCGCUGCUCCGUGCAUCCCGAUAGGCCCCGCCUGCCGCUGGGCGGGCGCCGGAAGGAUGGGGAAGGACCGGGAAGGACCGGAAGGCCCUGGGGUCGCGGGUUCAGGCCGUAGCGCCGCCUCUGGGGCUGAUUCGGGCCCGCCCUGCGGCUGCGUUCGGCCCUUGGGAACUGGAGCCACUUUUCAGCUGCCGCUGGCUCCCAUCUCAGCGCUUUUGCACCGAGAGUCGGUGUUUUUGCACGCUUCUCCCAGCGGCCAGCGAUCCCCCUGCGGCCUUGGCAAGAGACCUUUAAAGAUGCAGGUGGAACCCGGAGAAAGCCAC